rnacentral:rRNA from 1 species
UACGGAGGGAGCUAGCGUUGCUCGGAAUCACUGGGCGUAAAGGGUGCGUAGGCGGCUUGGUAAGUUGGGUGUGAAAGCCCCGGGCUCAGCCCGGGAAGGGCACUCGAAACUGCCGAGCUGGAGUGCCGGAGGGGAGAGUGGAAUUCCUGGUGUAGCGGUGAAAUGCGUAGAUAUCAGGAGGAAUACCGGUGGCGAAAGCGACUCUCUGGACGGCAACUGACGCUGAGGCACGAAAGCGUGGGGAGCAAACAGG